GAGCCAGAUUUCCUUGGAUAAAGCUUGUCUGCAAUAUUCACACGCAACAUCAGCUUUCCAAAUACCAUAUACCAUUUUUUCAAAGCGCUCUAACAAAGUUAAAACAUGUGAAGCUUGCAGCUCCCACUACAUUGUUAUGACUAAGAAGGGUAAAGGAAUAGUAUUAUUACUUGCUCAAAAAUCGAAGAGGCACCGCCCUCCGAAUCUCGAGAGCCAGACUCCUAACAGGAUUACUUUCUAAAAAAUCGAAGAGGCAUCGCUCUCUGAAUCUCAAGAGCUAGACUCCCAACAGGAUUGCUUUCUCAAAAAUCGAAGAGGCACCGUUCUCCG
rnacentral:lncRNA from 1 species